GACAGAGGGGGCAAGCGUUGCUCGGAAUUACUGGGCGUAAAGCGCGUGUAGGCGGCUUUGCAAGUCGGAUGUGAAAGCCCACGGCUCAACCGUGGAAGUGCAUCCGAAACUGCAUGGCUGGAGUCUCGGAGAGGAAGGUGGAAUGCUUGGUGUAGAGGUGAAAUUCGUAGAUAUCAAGCAGAACACCUGCGGCGAAGGCGGCCUUCUGGACGAUGACUGACGCUGAGACGCGAAAGCGUGGGGAGCAAACAGG
rnacentral:rRNA from 1 species